rnacentral:rRNA from 1 species
GUCGAACGAACUCUGGUAUUGAUUGGUGCUUGCAUCAUGAUUUACAUUUGAGUGAGUGGCGAACUGGUGAGUAACACGUGGGAAACCUGCCCAGAAGCGGGGGAUAACACCUGGAAACAGAUGCUAAUACCGCAUAACAACUUGGACCGCAUGGUCCGAGCUUGAAAGAUGGCUUCGGCUAUCACUUUUGGAUGGUCCCGCGGCGUAUUAGCUAGAUGGUGGGGUAACGGCUCACCAUGGCAAUGAUACGUAGCCGACCUGAGAGGGUAAUCGGCCACAUUGGGACUGAGACACGGCCCAAACUCCUACGGGAGGCAGCAGUAGGGAAUCUUCCACAAUGGACGAAAGUCUGAUGGAGCAACGCCGCGUGAGUGAAGAAGGGUUUCGGCUCGUAAAACUCUGUUGUUAAAGAAGAACAUAUCUGAGAGUAACUGUUCAGGUAUUGACGGUAUUUAACCAGAAAGCCACGGCUAACUACGUGCCAGCAGCCGCGGUAAUACGUAGGUGGCAAGCGUUGUCCGGAUUUAUUGGGCGUAAAGCGAGCGCAGGCGGUUUUUUAAGUCUGAUGUGAAAGCCUUCGGCUCAACCGAAGAAGUGCAUCGGAAACUGGGGAAACUUGAGUGCAGAAGAGGACAGUGGAACUCCAUGUGUAGCGGUGAAAUGCGUAGAUAUAUGGAAGAACACCAGUGGCGAAGGCGGCUGUCUGGUCUGUAACUGACGCUGAGGCUCGAAAGUAUGGGUAGCAAACAGGAUUAGAUACCCUGGUAGUCCAUACCGUAAACGAUGAAUGCUAAGUGUUGGAGGGUUUCCGCCCUUCAGUGCUGCAGCUAACGCAUUAAGCAUUCCGCCUGGGGAGUACGGCCGCAAGGCUGAAACUCAAAGGAAUUGACGGGGGCCCGCACAAGCGGUGGAGCAUGUGGUUUAAUUCGAAGCUACGCGAAGAACCUUACCAGGUCUUGACAUACUAUGCAAAUCUAAGAGAUUAGACGUUCCCUUCGGGGACAUGGAUACAGGUGGUGCAUGGUUGUCGUCAGCUCGUGUCGUGAGAUGUUGGGUUAAGUCCCGCAACGAGCGCAACCCUUAUUAUCAGUUGCCAGCAUUAAGUUGGGCACUCUGGUGAGACUGCCGGUGACAAACCGGAGGAAGGUGGGGAUGACGUCAAAUCAUCAUGCCCCUUAUGACCUGGGCUACACACGUGCUACAAUGGAUGGUACAACGAGUUGCGAACUCGCGAGAGUAAGCUAAUCUCUUAAAGCCAUUCUCAGUUCGGAUUGUAGGCUGCAACUCGCCUACAUGAAGUCGGAAUCGCUAGUAAUCGCGGAUCAGCAUGCCGCGGUGAAUACGUUCCCGGGCCUUGUACACACCGCCCGUCACACCAUGAGAGUUUGUAACACCCAAAGUCGGUGGGGUAACCUUUUAGGAACCAGCCGCCUA